CCCGAGGCCCAGUGGGGGGAGGGGCGGCUCGGUCCGGGCGGGGCAGGGCCGGGGCAGGGGCGCCGCGGUGAACUCGGCGGCGGCCGCGCGUCGUUCCCGCUGUUCCUCCAGCUGCCGUUUCCUCUGCGGGCCUCCCUCACCCGGGGCGCGGGGGGGGGGGACGGAGUUGUUAUUUCUCGCCGUUUCCAUAGCAACUGCAGCCACGCGCAGGGAGCGGAAUCAGUGAACUAGGCCUGGCGCGCUCCUGGAUCCCUCGGGGUUUGCCCGCAGCCUCCGGCAGAGACUCGAGAAAUUCACACAGCCAAUAAUGAAACUGAUGCUGAGACUGAAACAGCACAAGCUUUGUUGAAUGGCCGUUCAAUGGCUGAGAAUGGAAGUGGAAACUUAGUUCACAAAUCAACUUCUCCUCGGGGAGGAUCAGGGCAAGAUUUUUAAAGCUUUACAUGUACAGCUGGAAUGCCCCACCCCAGGAUCUGCCCUAGUUGCCUCCAUCAUUUCUCCACCACCAAAAUCAGAGUUUCCCGAGAAAGGAGGAAGCAAAGCUGGCAGCCGCUUUUUCAGGAUCCAGCCGUCACCUUUUACUCUCAUCAGUCAACUUUGAUUAUAAGAUAUUAUGGAACUCAAAAAAAAUAAUAUAGCUUAGAGGGCUUCCCUGGUGAUGCAGUGGUUAAGAAUCCUCGUGCCAAUGCAGGGGACACAGGUUCGAGCCCUGGUCCCAGAAGAUUCCACAUGCCACGGAACAACUAAGCCCGUGCACCACAACUACUGCUCUAGAGCCUGCGAGCCACAACUACUGAGCCCGCAUGCCACAACUACUGAAGCCCACGCACCUAGAGCCCGUGCUCCGCAACAAGAGAAGCCACUGCAGUGAGAAGCCUGCGUACCGCAACGAAGAGUAGCCGCUGCUCGCCACAACUAGAGAAAGCCCGCGGGCAGCAAUGAAGACCCAACGCAGCCAAAAAUAAAUAAAUGUAUAAAAAAUAAUAAUAAUAUAGCUUAGAAACAUUCCCAAUAAGAAGGGUUGAAACAA